AAGACUAUACUUUCAGGGAUCAUUUCUGUAGUUUGUUACUAGAGAAGUUUCUCUGAACGUAUAGAGCACCAUUAAAAAAUUUUU
ensembl:snoRNA U3 Small nucleolar RNA U3